rnacentral:rRNA from 1 species
UACGAAGGGGGCUAGCGUUGCUCGGAAUCACUGGGCGUAAAGCGCACGUAGGCGGAUUGUUAAGUCAGGGGUGAAAUCCUGGAGCUCAACUCCAGAACUGCCUUUGAUACUGGCGAUCUCGAGUCCGGAGAGGUGAGUGGAACUGCGAGUGUAGAGGUGAAAUUCGUAGAUAUUCGCAAGAACACCAGUGGCGAAGGCGGCUCACUGGCCCGAUACUGACGCUGAGGUGCGAAAGCGUGGGGAGCAAACAGG